rnacentral:other from 2 species
GGGAAUCUGUGAUGUACGAGUUAUCCCACUUUAGUGUUGACCGAACAUUUUUAUUGAUAUCUUGGGAUCCGUCCGGUGUUAAAGUUAGUAACACGCCUUUUCACUUGGUAGUUCGAUACUUUGACCGUGGAGCCCACCUGCUUGAACUUGCGGGAUCAAUACUCCGGGACAAGAAACGGCAUCAACGGUAACCCA